rnacentral:rRNA from 1 species
CCUACGGGAGGCAGCAGUGGGGAAUUUUCCGCAAUGGGCGAAAGCCUGACGGAGCAAGACCGCGUGAGGGAGGAAGGCCCUUGGGUUGUAAACCUCUUUUGUCAGGGAAGAAGAAAGUGACGGUACCUGACGAAUCAGCCUCGGCUAACUCCGUGCCAGCAGCCGCGGUAAUACGGAGGAGGCAAGCGUUAUCCGGAAUUAUUGGGCGUAAAGCGUCCGCAGGUGGCUAUUCAAGUCUGCUGUCAAAGCACAGGGCUUAACCCUGUUAAGGCGGUGGAAACUGAAUGGCUAGAGAGAGGUAGGGGUAGAGGGAAUUCCCAGUGUAGCGGUGAAAUGCGUAGAGAUUGGGAAGAACAUCGGUGGCGAAAGCGCUCUACUGGACCUCAUCUGACACUCAGGGACGAAAGCUAGGGGAGCGAAUGGGAUUAGAUACCCUGGUA